UCCCAUCAUUCCCAAUCCUUUGGAAUUGGCUGCAUUGACAACUUAUUUGGAAGUGUUGAGAGUCUUGAUUUACAGCUUUUUCGAACUAAAGAAUGUCGAGACAUGUUGUUACAUCCCCGCAAUGGAGCUGAAGAUCUAUUGAGGAACCUCAAAUUGAAAUAUGAUCAAUGUGAGCCCCCACGGUACUUUAAGUGUUCUAAUCGAUAUUGCUGCAAUUUUGCACAAAGGUUUAGUUAUUACGAAACUGUUCAUUGUUGUUGUGGGGGUCUGAUGAAAGUGGAGACCAUUUUUACAACGAAACAAGCUGAAGGUGGUGGGGUUUUUGUGGCAGGACCAGGGAGAUUUAUUAUUAGUGAUGAUUUACAGGUACUGCCUCCAUUUACUUGUGCAGUAUCUUCUGUAGUUUCGAACCAUGGACUCAUGGGCUGGAAAAGCGUUGAGGAACUGACUUUUAAUGUGGGAGUUGAUGAGGUAAAUGAUGAUGUGUUGACAUGCAAUACCAAGUUAAAAUUUUCAACUCGAACUAAAACUCUAGUUUCUGAUCUUCACUUUUUGUUUAUUUUUUGUUUUCCAGGUUUUGAAUUUGCUUAUGCGCUCAUUAGUAUCAGAGACACCUCUGACUGAAACUCUGCUGAAGGAUAAAACCAUACCAAACAUGAUUGAUGAAAACCUUGACCAAGAUUUAUGCAUUGAAUAUCGAGAGGUAGAAGGAAAAAGGAAUGAGGAAGAAGAAAAGAUUUCUAUCAAACUUAUAGUUAGCAAAUCUAAGAAGAAGGUUUAUUAUGCCGAAGUGGGGGAGGAUUUUGUCAAUUUACUCUUCAGUUUCUUGACUCUUCCACUAGGGUUUGUAAUAAAACAAAUGCAACAUAACUCUUUGAAAGGUUGCAUUGACCAGCUGUACAAAAGUGUCGAAGAUCUUGAUGAGCAGUACUUGAAGUCAAAUUUACACAAGAAAAAGUUGGUGAGUCCUAAGCUCCUCCCUGGAUUUGGCUACAAGAAUCAUCUUCUGGGAAUUGAGGAAGCAUCGUAUAAAUGGACUGACUCCGUAGAACCCAAAUCCCAUUGUAAAGAAGAUUGUAUUGACUUCGUAGACCCCAAAUCCCAUCAUAAAAAAGAUGAUAAAGAUUGUGGAUUCUUGAAAGGACCGGCGAUGUUCAUGGUAACUGACAGUCUCAAUGUAAGUCCAAUAUCUGCAAUUGUCGGCAUGUCAAUUCUAUGCGAACUGAACGUACCUGUGACUGAUGUUGAGGUACGAGUGGCUCAUGUGGGGAAAGAGGAGGUGAGUCAUACCAUAAACUCUUCUAAUCAAAACACUGGUCUUGUGAAAGUGAUUCUUUAUUUGAGUCUAUACAUCUUGUUCCAAGGUUGAUGCUUUAGACAUGUUUCUCAUUGCAGGCUAUCCGUCUUUUGGUGGCUUCUUUUGUUUGUCCCUCUGCUCUAACUAGUGUCUUCCUUACGAAGCCAAAGCGAUUUGGAGGUUUAGGGUGCCUAAGUUUUCUAAUUUAAGAAGAGAAUAUGCACCUUCUGUUACAAACUUAUGUGCCUUUCUCUUUGCACUAUCAUCGUUUUGUGUUAUAUGACCCAUAUUUUGUGCUGCUUCUAGCAUAAUUAUUUAAGGGAUGCAUCUUGCUAUUUUCAGAUAAUAUUCUUGUUUUUUUUGGUUUCUCUUCAUGUCUUGCUUUCAUUGUGAAGCUAGUCAUUGAUUUCAGACAAUUAGGAAGAAAUGAAAUGAAAAAAUUGUGACUGGAGGUAGGAGAUGGAUGACUCAAGAAGAAAAGAGUACGUUGAGUCAUACGAGGAAAGCCUCGUCUGACUCUUUACUUGGACGAGACUGAUGCAAUUUCUUUUCGAGGGAAAAAAAAAGUAUGGUGAUGGCAUUGGCUCUUUUUGGUUUCCACUUUAUUCUUGUUCUAAUGCAUAUGCCUUGUCAUGCCCUGAAAUCAGGCACGUAACAGUGCCACGCCUUGUUGACAAGGUGAUACUAUAACAUGAGGACGCAAUGUUUUAAAAUCACGUUCUCGAUACUACAACAUGAGGGCGCGACGAUAUAAAAUCACGUUUCCAAUAGAACAUCAGGCAAUUAAGAGAAUACAGAAAACUGUUUAUUUUAAAACACUGCUGAAACGUAAAUAAAAUUGGUAGGCCGAAAAUAAAUUGAAAAUUCGAUUUUACUAUAUAUAUAUAUAUAGUAAAACAGUUAUCAACGUACUAACCCCCAGGUUUUAUGAAAAUACAUAUAUAUCAUGAUAAACAUAGGUUUUCCAAAACCUAGCAUAUCGUGCAUUGUCUCAAAUCAUAACUUGUAUAUAUAUAAUAAUCACUAGUGAAUGUCCAAUAUAACCCUCAGGCCCCAUGCCAGCUCCCCGUCUCUGAGCAGACAGUCAGAGGAAAAUAACCCUCAGGCCCCAUGCUGGCUCCCCGUCCCUGUGCUAGAUAGCCAGAGGAAACACACUCCAGGCCCUAUGCCAACACCAAACCGUUGCCCGGGACGGACCCGAAUCUAUCCCUACGUCCCGUAGCGGAAAUGACCACUAGGUAAGUACAAAACCAUUGAACAUAUAUAUUGAAAAGCAACUUCAUAGUAUAAAGUCAUCCGUCAUCUCUACUAUAAAGAGGUGUUCGAAACAUGUUCUAAAUAUCAUAUCGUCAUCCAUCAGAUAUUCUAUAAGAACACGUGUUAUAGGAAAAAUAGUAAUAAUUCAAAUUAGCCUCAGUAAGCAUGUUAUCUCGCAAAACGUUUCAUAAAACGUAAUUAUUAAAUCAUGUUUUUCAUAUAUGCAUUUCUACUAUCAAAACAUGCAUUUUAGAAGGUUUCCACUCACAGUACUUAGCCGCCGAAAAACCAUGCUACUGGCGAAGAAGGAAACACCACAAUUAAUUGCCCCUAAGCACAUACAUGGUACAUUUAGUCAAACUCUACUCAAACAACUUAAUUUGGGAAAACAAACAUCGGAAACGGGUUCAGAACAUUGAAAUUAGCCUAUGAGAGGUCUCGAACGAAAACCCUAAAAGUCAAAGUUGAUAGUUGACCAUCAAAGUCAAAGUAAACGUUGACCGGUCAAAGUCAAAGUCAACGGUCAGACCUAGUCAAAGUCAACGGGUCAUGGGUUCGGGUUGGACCAGGUCAAUCGAGUCACGGGCCUAGGUUAAAUGGUUUUGGGCCGGACCGAGUUGGGCUUGGGUUUAAAAGGGAAAUGGGUUUAGAUAAUUAGGUGGGUUGGGUUAGGGUUUAAGCUACAAGAGCCCAAAGGCCCAAUCUCCUCACGGUCCGAAGGCCUGCCACAAAGGUUAAAGGGUUUAGGGGUUUAGCGGGCCAAGGCCUUAAGUGAAACGGCCCGAAGGCCUUUAGGUCUUUAAGGAAUUAAAACAAAAAUAAAAAUGGAACAGGAUAGGGUAUUGGGUUGAAACAAAACGGGCUUAAGGCCCGUGGGUUGAGGAACGGCCUGAAGGGCCAGUCUCGACGGAAGAAGGCACCAGAGCUUCUACAGCACCGGCCGACUGCAAAUGGAAACCCUAGACUCCGAUCUAGGUAUCAAAAUGAAGCACAAGGUGAGAGAAGUGUGAUUAUACCUUUGGUUUGCCGUAGAACGGUCAGAGGUGAUCGGAAAUAUCCUCGACACCCACGGUUUUGCCAGAGUUGAGUGUGCUUUCCACCAAGCCGAUCUCGUUCCAAAACCUUGGAAAUCACGAGUAUAACACUUAAUAAAUCACACCCAAGCUUCAACUAGAACGAAAGGAGAUAAACCCAAAGCUUACCUAACCGGAGAAAAUGAAGAGAGAGAAAGAUGAGGUUUUGAUGGUGAUGCCGUCAACGGAACGAAGGUGUGAGUGCAAGUGUACUUGGGUGAUCACGAGAAAGAGUGUGAGAAUGAUGAGAGGGUUUCGAGAGAGAAGAGAGUGUGCAGAGAGAGAGUGAAGAAAGUGAGAGCUGAGAGAGGUCUCGGGGUGAGGGAAAGGAAAGGGAGUGAUGGGUGCUGCCACAUGGCAGUUUGAUGGAGUUUGAGAAUCAAGAUAGAGGGUCCAUAUUUGGUUAAGAAAGAGGACUAAAUACAUAAUUUCAUUAAACUUUUGGGGAAAACACGUAAUUAUACAUAUAAUUUGGGGUUGGGUGUAACAAACUAUCCACUACGCGAAUCUCGAAAUUCAAACUCAUAUAACAAUGAUAAAUAAAGUGAUGAGCAUACACCAUAGUUAUAGUAGUGAGCAACAAUGCACUCAUUUUUAUUAAAGCAAAUUCACUUUGUUGCCACUCAUCCUAGUCCACGUGUUUUACACCGUCAAUUCCCAUAUUGUCUAUUAUAAAUUCAUUUGUUCUCCCAAAAAUGUUCCAGAAAAUGCUACAAACUCAUAAUGACAUCCACCAUCUUCUUCUGAACACCUUUUUGGACAAAACAAUAUGAAUAUAUUUUCUAAAAAUUUCCUUCUUCCUUGAUAAUAAAUUCUUCUUUGGAUCUCACAUCCAAGGCUCCAACUGAGUGUGACAAAGUUUUAUAUGAAAAUGGCUUGAGCUAACUAGUGUCAUUAAUUCAUGAUUGGAAUAAAUCAGUAAAUAGCUUCACAAUGAUAACAACACACACACAAAAAGCAAUAAUUAAACAAAAAGCCUUAUUAAUAUUGGAUUAUGGAUGUAGCUUUUUGGAAAGUGAUAGUGUUCAAAUAUAACUCCUUUGAAUUAAUCAUGUACAAUGUUUACAACCUAAAUAGGGUUUGAGAAAACUCAUGUGGUAGGAAUCUUAAUUUAAUUACAAUUGAUAUAUAUUUUUUUAAUCACAGAAAAGAUUCUGUAUUAAUUACUUCUAUUCUUAUAGAGAGACUAAUUAUCUAGGGUUUUGUGUUUGCAUGUUAUGGAUUUAGGUACUUGGAGCUUUUUGGUACCUUUUUUCUAUUCAACGAGAGGUAUUUUCUAUUCAACGAGAGGUAUCAUGUUGGCAUGAGACAUGUGUAAAUCCUAGUAUAGAUCCCAAGGGAUGUACGGAUGCUUACUGCGAUAGUCGGAGUACUACUGCAAGAAAUAUAACACUUCUAAAUGAGCAUUGCCCGUUGGAUACUUCAGAUGGUGCUUUAUCUUCAUUUAACUUUGGAAUAUUCCUUGAUUCACUUAAGAAUCAAAACACAGAGCAGAAAAAGUUUAUAGAGAAGUUCCUUUACUCUUUCUGGUGGGGCCUGCGAAAUCUAAGGUUCACAGUAUAUCCAUUGACGAUCAACAAUUUCUGGAGAAUAUGUAACAAAUACAUUUUUUUGGGGUUAUCUAAUUCUGCAACAUUGUCUAAUAUGUACCUACAAUAUUUUGCAGUAAUUUUGGGACGAAUCUGACAACAAGUACGUAUGUCUGGGAAAACUUAUUUGCAAUUCUUAUUUCUUUCAUUGGCUUGCUACUGUUUUUAUAUCUCAUCGGCAAUGUACAGGUUGGUAUAUACUGAAUCUCACAGUUUUAUUUUUCAAUCGUUUUUCUUUAGGUCCCGUGUCUUAUUCAAAUAUUUGUGAAAUGGUGGGUAAAUUCAAAAUCCAAUUUUGUGAGGUAUUAUUAAGAAUAGUACACUUUUUAAAUAUAGGUACUAUUAUCUUUUUAUUAAAUUUUCGAUAAAACAGAAAAUUUUAAAGAAUUGUAAUAUCGAAAUCGUAAGAAUUAAAUCCUUUAAAUCAUGCUGCAUUCAAUAUUUUUUACAUAUUUAAUAUAUCUACAUCAUAGAUUUUUUUUGUCGAUAAUCUACCUAUAUCAUAGAUAAACUGUGUUUAGCUACCUAUACUAUAGAUAUUUUUUGCUUGUGAUCUACCUCUUCAAAAUUAGUUGUAUUAGAUUCUAUCUUAAAUAUGUUUCGCUUAAACUUUUGUGUAGUCUUGUUAUGAUAUAGAUAUGUUACAAUUGGACUCAAAUUAAAAAAGGAGCUUCGAUUUUUGGACCUGAACUUAAAUGUGCCAUUUCAAAUUAUAUAAGAUACGUAAGUUCUUUGGUGAAACAUACCUUUCUAGUAUGUAGCUAGCUAGGACAUAGGAGAUCAUGGAUCGAGCUUAUUAAUGAAUUCUACUUGUGGUGAGGCAGACUUUAAUACAGAUGGAGGCUACAAAAUCGGAAGAGACAAGACGAAAGAUUCGGAUAAAGAAAGUAGAUGUACGCACGUGGAUAUCCGUAUAUAAAUUCCCUGAUAAUAUCAAGAAAGAAAUCGAGAAUAGCAUAGAGCAAGCAUGGGUAAAAGACAAAUAUGCUGAUGUCCACAACCCAUUCAUUAUUCUUCCUAAUAAGACCAAAGACUCUGUAAAACGCCAUCUUUUCAUGGAUACACUUAGAACAGUAUGUUCUUCAAGAAUCGAUCUCUCUCCAUUUAUUAAUUGCUUCCAUUUUUACUGCAAUGUUGUUCUGAUGAUAUAUGUCUGUGUGUGCGCGCACGUGCAUAGGUAAAAGUGCUUAAAUACAUGGAUGAAUAUGUGUUGACGUUGCUGUGCAACUAUCUAAAGCCAAUGACGUACAAUGAGAACAGCUUUGUUUUUCGAACUGGAGAUCCACUCGAUUGCAUGGUGUUCAUUAUCGAAGGGACAAUGUGGACCUACGCGGCGAGUGAUAGUCAAGUUGGGCAAGGAAUCUCAUCAACGGCCAUCAAUCGCCUCGGGAAAUGUCACUUUUACGGGGAAGAGCUUCUCGAUCGGGCAUCAGACUGGUUCACCGAACUUCCAGUCUCCAGCAAACAUGUCAAAAGUCUGACAAAAGUAGAAGCAUUUGUGCUCAUGGCCAAGGACUUGGAAGCUGUAAUCUCCAGAUGCCCACUACAGUGGGAGAACGGCGAGAAGAAGGGUUCUCAAAAGGUGAAGGGCAUGGCAGCUUCUACCAUAGCAACAGCAUUCCGUCGUCAUAGAGAGCAAUCGAAACCUUAUAAGUAGAGUGCUUGAUGUUAGAUAUGUUUUGAGAUCAAUAAGAAGACCUUAGCACCAGUGGUUUAUUGUGGUUUAUAAACUUAGGCGGCUUCUACUUCACACGAUGAAAUAGUCUUUAACCCCAUGUUAUAGAGAGAUUUUUCAAUAUGAUUAGUACACGAGAUGGUACAUCAUGUGUCAUUAUAAAAAUGAUAGGAUAUGUGUGCUAAAAGGUUAAUAACACAAGAAAAUAUGAAAGUUCAAAGGAAGAUACAUAAAUUUGUAAAAUAAAGUGCAUGAUCUCUUCUUAAAUUAGAAAACCAAGGCAUCCCAAUUGUGGGAGGAUAAAACCUAAUUUCGACUCAUGGGCCGAUCAUCUAAGGAAAAAGAGUUGUGCAAAAUAAAAAGCCCACAAGAAAUAAGCACAAGGGUGCGUGCCGAGGUAACUACCCCACUACGGAAGAGAAGUGGGAGAGGAAGACAGGUCAUGGGACUUGUUCCCAAAGCAUGUAGUGAUAUGACGAUGACCACUAAGGAAGUGGGGAAGGAAGACGAUCGCGGUACUUGAAUCUCAAGUACAAAAUCCUAUAAAUAGGGAGAGAAGCAAAAGAACCAGGUAUGUGAGGAGUACCCGAGAAAAUCCAAAGAAUAGAAAUCAAUUAGCUGACUUGAGCGUCGGAGUAUCUUUUGCAGGUACUCGCGCCAGACUGCGGAGGAAGAUUAUUUUGGGACAUCUCGAAGAAGGAUUCGGCGAACGUGAGGAUUGCGGUCAACAAAUCUGUGGAGGUAUUUCUUCUUGUAGGAAAUUUCACUCUAACAGUUGGCGCCGUCUGUGGGAACGCAACAAAAUCAAGCUAUAAACAUGACUGGAUCCACACAAGAAGUUCCAAAUCCUUCUGAAGAUACAAGGACUCGAUCGGUACACGCAAGGUCUCAAUCCCAAAAUAUUGAACCUUGUCUCGCCAUGGAACAAUUUAGAAGGCUAACGAGGGAAUUGCGUGAAACAAAAAAGACAGCAGAGGAGGCGUUGAAGAAGGCUGAAGCGAAAAAGGCAGUAGAAGGUGCAACCGGCACCAAGAGACAACGUGCAGAAGAGGAAGAUAAGGGGGGCAGCUCUAGUAGCGCGCCAUACAGUAACCGUGUUGAAGUGACGAAAAAUCAGGGCGAAGAGGAUCACAGGGGAAAAGGAUCGAAAAAGGUAAAGGAUGUUGAUUUGCGAGAACAAAUUGAGAAGAUUGUGAAGGGAUACAAGCCCCAGACCCUGGCAGAACUUGCCUUGGAAGCAGCCAGAGGGAUUCGCAAAUCGCCGUUCACAGAGAACAUCCUGAAAGCUAAAAAACCUGCCAAGUUCACCCAACCAAAGUUUAGGCUAUUCGAAGGUGCAACUGAUCCCGUCGAACACAUUUACCACUUUCAACAACAAAUGGCGCUUGAAGGAGACGAUGAGGCCCUAAUGUGCAAGUUGUUCCCCUCAAGUCUUUCGGGGUCAUCGUUAACUUGGUUCAGGCAACUGAAACUGAGGUCUAUUGGAAGUUUCACAGAGCUUUGCGAAGCAUUCAUAUCCCAAUAUGUCUGCAAUCAGAGGCCAAGAAAAGAUAUUACGAUCUUGUUCAACACCAAACAAAAUGUUGGUGAGAGCCUCAAAAGCUACAUGACUAGGUUCACCGAAGAGAUGUCCACCCUAGCAGAAUGUGAUUCCCACACUGCGUCUUUGGCAUUCCGAGAAGGGGCGUUGCCUGGAACAAAGAUGCGUAGGUCAUUGAUCGAAACGCCACCACUGGACAUGAGGGAGGUGAUGGCCCGAGCUGAUGGAAUCAUCAGAUUAGAGGAAGAGGAAUUUAUCCAAUCAAAGCAGGCCACCGCGACUAUUGUUACAUCUCCAGCGGGCACUACCACGAAAGAUUUGAGUGGGUAUUGAGAAAAGUCAUGGAAAACAAAAAAGAUUUGAAUGUAGGGAAACUUGGACGCAUAUGGGAAUGACCAUAUGAGGUGACUGAAGCUUUCGGAAAUGGAGCUUAUAAACUCAGGCACGUAGAAACAGGUCAGUAUGUGCCGCACCUAUGAAGGGCAAUUCAUUUGAGAAAGUACCACAUUUAGCUUCUCGUGUUUAUGUUUUCCGUAUUUAAAUUUCUGUUUCUAGCAAUGUUGAAGGGUAAAUCCCUUAUUGUCUUCCUUGCAUGUCAAAGGGGAUGUCCCUGGAUGUCUGUUGACAUCUCUUCAUUGUAUGAUAAAUAAAGUUGCACUUUAUUCGAAUCUUAGACUAAAGUCUAAAGCUGAAGAGUAUAAACCAAGGGAUGAUGAUCGAAUCAAGAUCGGAUGGGCAGAGACCCAAUCAAGAUCGGAAAUCUAAGAUCAUGUGGGGAAAGAAAACCCAAGAUCGGAUGGGCAGAGACCCAAUCAAGAUCGAAAUUCUAAGAUCGAGUGGGAAAAGAAAACCCAAGAUCGGAUGGGCAGAGACCCAAUCAAGAUCGGAAAUCUAAGAUCGUGUGGGGAAAGAAAACCCAAGAUCGGAUGGGCAGAGACCCAAUCAAGAUCGGAAAUCUAAGAUCGAGUGGGAAAAGAAAACCCAAGAUCGAAUGGGCAAAGACCCAAUCAAGAUCGAGAAUCUAAGAUCGAGCGGGAAAAGAAAACCCAAGAUCGAAUGGAAAAAGACCCAGUCAAGAUCGAAAAGGCUUGGUGAAGAAACUGAGCAGGUGAAGUGAAGGAAAAUAGGGAUGGAGGAACUCAAGGUAAUGACAUAUAAAUAUAUACGCAUACAUGUGUAGAGAUAUAUGCAAGUAUAUGAGAAGUAAGUGCAGAGAUUUGCAUGUCGUACGCAAAGGUAUGCCUGUGUUGUGUGUAAAAAUAUGCCUAUAUAUGCCAAUGUACCCAGAUAUUUGUGCAUAUAUAUAUAUAUAUAUAUAUAUAUAUAUAUAUAUAUAUAUAUACAUAUAUGUGUGUGUGUAUAGGUAGUCUGGUUAAGGAAGUGAUGUCUGCAAGUCCAGGAAAAUAUAUAUGUAGAUAGAUAGACAGGUAGCCCAAGGAUGUGAUUUAUGCAGGAAUAUACAUAGACAUAUAAGAGAGGGAAAAACAAGUGUGUCAGUGUAUAUAUAAUAUAUAUAUAUAUAUAUAUAUAUAUAUAUAUAUAUAUAUAUUGAUAUAUUGAUAUAUGUAUACAUAGGCGUGCAUAUUAGAUGUGCAGACUAGGUGUGCAGCCUAGCAUUAUGGAUUAUAUGCGUGAGGAGGAAACACACAUGGUAAAUAUUUAUAUAUGUAAAUAUAUAUAUAUAUAUAUAUAUAUGUGUGUGUGUGUGUAUGUAAAUCAGAUAAAAGUGAAUGAAGGAGUGCAGACAAGAUGGGAUAGAGAUCUAUAUAAUAAACACGUACAAGGCGUCAGUCCUCUUUCGUUAUGUCAGUCCUCUUUCGUAAUGUUCGUAAAUCCUCUUUCGUAACGAUAGGACCUCUUCCGUGAUGUCAGUCCUCUUUCGUAAUGUUCAUAAAUCCUCUUUCGUAAUGAUGGACCUCUUCCGUGACGUCAAUCCUCUUUCGUAAUGUUCGUAAAUCCUCUUUCGUAAUGAUAGACCUCUUCCGUGACGUCAGUUCUCGUUCGCCAUGUCAGUCAUCUUUCGUAAUGUUCAUAAAUCCUCUUUCGUAAUGAUGGACCUCUUCCGUGACGUCAGUCCUCUUUCGUAAUGUUCGUAAAUCUUCUUUCGUAAUGUUAGACCUCUUUCGUGAUGUCAGUCCUCAUGUGAGUUCGUAAUGUUCAUUCGUAAAUCCUCUUUCGUAAUGUUCGUUCUUCGAAAAUUUAUUUUUAGAAAAAGCAACUCCCACAAGGUUGGCAAUGCUUAAAGUUUUAGUUUGGCUUAGAGAGUACAGUUUCAAGGCCUUAUGAGAUCGAAAAACUUGGUUUUUCCCUAUUUUACAUGCGUAAAAAAGGGAAAAAAUGGGGCAUUGUGGGAGGAUAAAACCUAAUUUCGACUCAUGGGCCGAUCAUCUAAGGAAAAAGAGUUGUGCAAAAUAAAAAGCCCACAAGAAAUAAGCACAAGGGUGCGUGCGAGGUACUACCCACUACGAGAGAAGUGGGAGAAAGACAGGUCAUGGGACUUCCAAAGCAUGUAGUUAUGACGAUGACCACUAAGAAGUGGAAGGAAGAAUCGUUACUUAUCUAGUACAAAAUCCUAGAGAAAAAAAGGUUGAGGAGUCUGGCAAGGAUCGUGUCAGUCGUGUUCGUGUCGUUUUCGUGUAACACCUGUUAUCUUAACGGGUCGUGUCGUGUCACACCCGUUAUCUUAACGGGUCCUUAACAGGUCGUGUCACUUUACCCAACGGGUAAAGUGACCCGACCCGUUAUGACCCGUUAAGAAAAAUAUAUUUUUUUUCUUAAAUUUGCACAUACCACACAUUGCCACAUAAAUAUUACUUCAAAACAUUAAAACACAUUUGUCGUUUAAGUACUACAUCUACACUCGAAAAUAAGAGCCUAAUAAAAAAAUAAUACAUACACUACUAAUCUAUUACAAAUUUUAAAUGUGCAAGGAUAUGCAAAAUGAAACAGUUUUUGUUUUCAAGGUUGUGAAAUCUUUCUCAAAAGUUUAAACCUCAAUUUACAAAAUCCUCGAUUUACAUCGAUCAUCAUGAAAUUGCAUUGGAACUUUGGCUUGAUCUAUUGCCUUCAAGAGUUAUGUUGAUGAUGUUUUCAGUAAGGUUUUCCACGUCAUAACUAUCUUCUGCAUAAACUAAGCAUAGAAAAACCAAACAUUAAAAAUCAUUCAAAUUAUGAGAAGUUUACCAAAAUAAUUAUGAAAAAAAAUAAAACAAUAGUACUAUACCAUACUUUUAUUAAGUAUAAACAUAAGAUUUUGUGGUAUCCACUAGUGUAAAUAUUUUAAAUUGAAGAUCGAAUUCAAUCAUUGUAUUCAUAUAAGGUCAAGGAGUGUAGUUGUAAAAAAAUCAUCAAAAUCGGAGUUAAAUUAACCGUUAAAUCGUGAUUUUUCGUUUAUAACCGUCGAAAAGUUUUGUCCCGUUACGUGCUCUCUGAAUGUUUGUUUUUUGCAAUUUUUGGCGUAUGCGAUCUCGAAAUAUAUACAAACAUGUUUGACGGUUGGAUCAUUGAAACUAGUUUCGUAGAAUGAGUAUCCCAUCAAAACAAUAGAUUCACUAAUACUUAAGAGUUUAUUCAUACUUUUAUUAAGUAUAACAUAAGAUUUUGUGGUUUCCACUAGUGUAAAUAUUUUAAAUUGAAGAUCGAAUUCAAUCAUUGUAUUCAUAUAGGGUCAAGGAGUGUAGUUGUAAAAAAUCAUCAUCAAAAUCGGAGUUAAAAUGACCGUUAAAUCGUGAUUUUUUCGUUUAUAACCGUCGAAAAGUUUUGUCCCGUUACUUGAUCUCUGAAUGUUUGUUUUUUGCAAUUUUUGGCGUAUGCAAUCUCGAAGUAUAUAUAAACAUGUUUGACGGUUGGAUCAUUGAAACUAGUUUCGUAGAAUGAGUAUCCCAUCAAAACAAUAGAUUCACUAAUACUUAAUAGUUUAUUCAUACUUUUAUUAAGUAUAAUAUAAGAUUUUGUGGUAUCCACUAGUGUAAAUAUUUUAAAUUGAAGAUCGAAUUCAAUCAUUGUAUUCAUAUAGGGUCAAGGAGUGUGGUUGUAAAAAAAUCAUCAAAAUCGGAGUUAAAAUGACCGUUAAAUCGUGAUUUUUUCGUUUAUAACCGUCGAAAAGUUUUGUCCCGUUACUUGAUCUCUGAAUGUUUGUUUUUUGUAAUUUUUUGACGUAUGCGAUCUCGAAGUAUAUACAAACAUGUUUGACGGUUGGAUCUUUGAAACUAGUUUCGUAGAAUGAGUAUCCCAUCAAAACAAUAGAUUCACUAAUACUUAAUAGUUUAUUCAUACUUUUAUUAAGUAUAACAUAAGAUUUUGUGGUAUCCACUAGUGUAAAUAUUUUUAAAUUGAAGAUCGAAUUCAAUCAUUGUAUUCAUAUAAGGUCAAGGAGUGUAGUUGUAAAAAAUCAUCAAAAUCGGAGUUAAAAUUGACCGUUAAAUCGUGAUUUUUCGUUUUAUAACCGUCGAAAAGUUUUGUCCCGUUACUUGAUCUCUGAAUGUUUGUUUUUUUGCAAUUUUUGGCGUAUGCGAUCUCGAAGUAUAUACAAACAUGUUUGACGGUUGGAUCAUUGAAACUAGUUUCGUAGAAUGAGUAUCCCAUCAAAACAAUAGAUUCACUAAUACUUAAUAGUUUAUUCAUACUUUUAUUAAGUAUAACAUAAGAUUUUGUGGUAUCCACUAGUGUAAAUAUUUUAAAUUGAAGAUCGAAUUCAAUCAUUGUAUUCAUAUAAGGGUCAAGGAGUGUAGUUGUAAAAAAAUCAUCAAAAUCGGAGUUAAAAAUGACCGUUAAAUCGUGAUUUUUCGUUUAUAACCGUCGAAAAGUUUUGUCCCGUUACUUGAUCUCUGAAUGUUGUUUUUUUUUUGCAAUUUUUGGCGUAUGCGAUCUCGAAAGUAUAUAUAAAACAUGUUUGACGGUUGGAUCAUUGAAACUAGUUUCGUAGAAUGAGUAUCCCAUCAAAACAAUAGAUUCACUAAUACUUAAUAGUUUAUUCAUACUUUUAUUAAGUAUAAUAUAAGAUUUUGUGGUAUCCACUAGUGUAAAUAUUUUAAAUUGAAGAUCGAAUUCAAUCAUUGUAUUCAUAUAAGGGUCAAGGAGUGUAGCUGCAAAAAAUCAUCAAAAUCAGAGUUAAAAUGACCGUUAAAUCGUGAUUUUUCUUUUUAUAACCGUCGAAAAGUUUUGUCCCGUUAAUUGAUCUCUGAAUGUUUGUUUUUUGUAAUUUUUUGACGUAUGCGAUCUCGAAGUAUAUACAAACAUGUUUGACGGUUGGAUCUUUGAAACUAGUUUCGUAGAAUGAGUAUCCCAUCAAAACAAUAGAUUCACUAAUACUUAAUAGUUUAUUCAUACUUUUAUUAAGUAUAACAUAAGAUUUUGUGGUAUCCACUAGUGUAAAUAUUUUAAAUUGAAGAUCGAAUUCAAUUACUUGUAUUCAUAUAGGGUCAAGGAGUGUAGUUGUAAAAAAUCAUCAAAAUCGGAGUUAAAAUAACCGUUAAAUCGUGAUUUUUCGUUUAUAACCGUCGAAAACUUUUGUCCCGUUACUUGAUCUCUGAAUGUUUUUUUUUUGCAAUUUUUGGCGUAUGCGAUCUCGAAGUAUAUACAAACAUGUUUGACGGUUGGAUCAUUGAAACUAGUUUUGUAGAAUGAGUAUCCCAUCAAAACAAUAGAUUCACUAAUACUUAAGAGUUUAUUCAUACUUUUAUUAAGUAUAACAUAAGAUUUUGUGGUAUCCACUAGUGUAAAUAUUUUAAAUUGAAGAUCGAAUUCAAUCAUUGUAUUCAUAUAGGGUCAAGGAGUGUGGUUGUAAAAAAUCAUCAAAAUCGGAGUUAAAAUGACCGUUAAAUCGUGAUUUUUCGUUUAUAACCGUCGAAAAGUUUUGUCCCGUUACUUGCUCUCUGAAUGUUUGUUUUUUGCAAUUUUUGGCGUAUGCGAUCUCGAAGUAUAUACAAACAUGUUUGACGGUUGGAUCGUUGAAAUUAGUUUCGUAUAAUUCGUAUCCCAUGAAGUUCAAUGGUGUGUGUGUGUGUAUAUAUAUAUUUAUUUAUUAAGUAGAUUUAAAUCUAUUUAUUUUGUAUGUAUAAUUAUUAUAGUUUUUAGGGGUAUAAAAUUUAAUAUAUAUAUAUAUAUAUAUAAAAUUAUUAUAGUUAAUUUUUUGGGUAUAAUUAUUAUAGUAUAUAUAAUUAUUAUAAUUAUUAUAGUUAAUUUAAUAUAUAUAUAUAUAUAUAUAUAAUUAUUAUAGUUUUUAGGGGUAUAAAAUUGUUAAAUUAAUAUAUAUAUAAUUAUUAUAGUAUUUUUUUAGGGUUAUAAAUUAUUAAAUUAAUAUUCUGCUUAUCGUGUAUCGUGUUACCCACGUGUAUACCCGAACAAACCCGUUAUCUUAACAGGUGCUUAUCGGGUUACCCGAUAACGACCCGUUUCGUUAUCGUGUCGACCCGAACACUUGUUAAUUUCGUGUCGUAUCGUGUCGUGUCGGGUUAUCGGGUCGUGUCAGGAAUUGCCAGGCUUAGGAGUACCCGAGAAAAUCCAAAGAAUAGAAAUCAAUCAGCUGACUUGAGCGUCGGAGUAUCUUUUGCAGGUACUCGCGCCAGACUGCGGAGGAAGAUUAUUUUGGGACAUCUCGAAGAAGGAUUCGGCGAACGUGAGGAUUGCGGUCAACAAAUCUGUGGAGGUAUUUCUUCUUGUAGGAAAUUUCACUCUAACACCAAUCCUCCAUCUCUUCUUAAGGUCAUACACAAGUGGAGACGGUUGCAAGGGGGUGCAUAUGUUAUGGCCCAGCAUUUUGGCCUUCGCUUUUGAAAAGCUAAUGAGGUGUCAAUAGCAUCUCUAAAAGAAGAUAUCAAAGAUAAAAACUUGCACGGAAGUUUUAUGGUGACACAAAGUGAAGAAAGUCGAGGUUGUCAGAAUUGGGUGACAUGGAGCACGUGUCAUGUGGCCAUUGGGCUUCACACGUGAGCCAACCUACUUUGAUACUGUGAACAAGUUGAGGUUCCAUCAUAAAAUCAAUUGGCAACUAUGAGGAGUAGCCCAACCUGCCAUUGCAAGGUUUCUCAUUUUACCGAUGUGAAACUCUUGUACCUUCACAUUUUCACAACUACUAUAUUGUGUUACUAAACAAUGUGCUAUAACUUGAGUGAAUUGGUAAAAAAAAAAACGAGAUAAUGUGAUGGUACCAGCGAAAAUUACUCGGCAUCAUUGUAUAUUUUCACUGACUGCGCCUCUAAUCAGUGUGGACCAGAAAGUCUCUGGCUGCUGCUGUUAAAAAACUUGGGUAGAAUAAAACAAGGACUCGGCUUCUACGCAAUCACUGAUCAAUUGAUCUCACACUCACAGUGAUGAAAAUGCAAAAAAGUCCUCGCGUUUUCAUCACCGUGAGAUUGAUCGCUUCACUGAUGCUCAAUUCUAAAAAGGGCAGUAUAUCUCAGUGAUGAACUUACAGAAGGGUGCAUCACGGUGACCUUAUUAAAAAACAAACUGAUGAGAUCGAUCAAACAAUGAAUAACACAAUCUGUACAAUCAGUUUAUAGAAACAGAAGAAGCGUCACCACCAUGCAUUAAGGUAACCAAUCUUUAGCUUUUGAAAAGAAGUGAGGAUCACUUUGAGUGGGGGUGCAUAUAGAGGGCCACCAUCUUUAGCUUUUGAAAAGAAGUAUUCAUUACUUUACUUACCUAGGAAGAAAUUUACGGUUUCAUCGUACCUGCAGAUUCGAAGCUCCGAAAUUAUGUAUAGCAUUAUGAGUUUAACCUCCAGCUAAUCAGGUGUUAAUAGAAUAUAAUCUCCAAAGGAUACAUAAAAGGCAACCUAAUGAGUUUGAUCAAUUUUGUUUAAUUUGGGUACAUAGGCCUCUAAUUAGUCUUUUAUAAGAGAGAGUGAUGCAUUUGAUAACUAACUGUGACUACAACUGAUACGGUCUACUGGAUUGCAAAAAAUACGAUCAGAGAAGAAAGGGAAGAAACCUGCAUUACAAAGUUAAUGACGAACAAAUGUUCAUUAAAUCUGUAGAAUAUUAAGAAAGUUCAACCUCCUCUAGAAUUUAAACAAAUGAGUAACAUCCCUAAAGCUUAAACAAGAUCUGACUUCUCCAAGGAAUUAGUUGAUCAAUUGUUGUCCAUUCCUAAUUAACGGUAUUAAAACGAAACUAGUAUAUUCAAACUUGCACACACACUCGCAAAUUCAACUCAACAACUAGUAUUCAAAUUCAACUCCUCGGUAAUAUUCUCAUGGUGACUCCAAGAUUGGUAAAUAAAGAAACGAUUGAAUCGCUAAGGGGGGAGAUCAGUUGUAAAUCAUCGGUGGUCAGAAGCUUGGCUGACUCCGUUACAAAGGCGCUCGCAACAUCCACGUGAAAUGUAAUCUCGCGACGCAUGGAAUUCGUGGACACUGGACAAGUGAUACCUGGGUAAUGACUGAAGAACUUUCUUGUGGCCGUGUUCAGUGUUGGCUUGGCAUUGUGAUCAAUUUGCAAUACAAGGUUCUUGCAAUGAGAUUCAGCUGCGUUGUGGGGAAGCAACAACAUUUCUCUACAUGCAUCUGACCGCAACUCACGUACUUCAAUUUCCUUCACACUUGAAUACAAAUUGUUCAUGCAUCCUAUGAGCAACCAAUAUUUUUAUCAAAAGAUUCGAAUUACUACCGCUAUGUGUUAUGAAAUACGUAAAGUACGAAGAAAAUAACAACAGUAACAACAAUCAAAUCUUAUCUUAUUAUAUAAAAAAGUUUUAUAAGUUUUAAAAUUUCAUUACGUUCGCUAAAAUAAAAAGAGUAGGCCGGCAUAAACUAUAGUGCGACAGCACAAAUUCCAAAUUAUUUUAGAACAAAAAUUAAAGCUAGAAUUCUCAGUGCCUUUUUGGGUAAAGUCGCCAAAGUAAGGACGAGACUUUCCGUUACCCAAAGACUCAAAACCAAACAAGCGUCUCUCUCUCUUCACUCUAUAAAACAACCAAACCGAGACUCUCCGUUGCCCAAUAGCAAAAGUGAGCGAGCCUCUGAUCGUAAGCUUCCUGUCUAUGUAAGUGGGUUUCUUCAAUUUUAACUUUUAGAUUUGAGGUUCAAGAUCCUAAUUCGAUUUAAACUUGCAUGCUGAAGACUUGGUUCGUGGUUGUGUUUGGCAGAUUGAGUUCGAGCUGGGCUGUAAGAAAGUGGUUCAAAUUGUUGGAUUUGGGUAAGAACCCUAUAAACCUGAACCGUAAUUGUAGCCAUCUUUCGAUUUCUAAGUGCUGGGCUUGAUUUCUGUGUGUUUUUUUUUAUGUGAAUUAUUUGAAGGUUGGAAAGUUUCGAACUUUUUCGCUGGAAUUUAAGUGGGUAAAAGUGUAUGAGGAAUUGGUUAGAAGAGAUUGUAAGUGUAUCAGAUAUGGGUUUUUUAAACCGCAUCAUAUUCGAAUUUGUGUUUCUUUUUUGGAUUUGAGUUUAUAUAUUUUCAGAUCUGAGUUAUUAUUUAUAUAUUUUCAUGAUCCCGAGUUUUAUUUUUUAUUUUUUAUUAAUAUUUAACUAAUAGGGCACGAUUACAAAAAUUGUUGGAAAAGUCAUCUGACAAGGUUGAACAGUAUUUUAUAUUGUUAACACGAAAAUUAUGUUAAAAACGUGAGUUAGCGGAGAGUCCGCAGCAUUUCUCUUGUGCUUAACUCUUUUGAGUACAAAACGCCAUAUUGUGCCCCUAUGAACAAUGUGCAUGAAUGCACAGGACCCAAAUAAUAUUUUAGUUGCUGCAGUGUUGCUAUAUAGGACAAAUAUAUUGGUGUCCUUAUCCUCGUACGGCACCUUUAACUUUUCGUUUGCAGUGCCCAUAUUUUGUAGUGGCACCGAAUAAUGAGCUCUGUAGAAAACUUCCAAAUUUCUUAUUCAUGAUGACGGUAGUAUGAGUUUUCUUCUUUUAGUAUUUAUCUCAUUGAAUUCAUAUAUAAGUUAGGCUUCAUUUCUUUUUAGCGUAUAAGCUCUUGUCCCUGCAAAGUGGUAGUCUCAAAUCAUUCAAUCCAAAAUAAUCUUGCGAGGUGGGAGUUCAGAGGUUAGUGAUGUGAACUAUUUUGAUCUGCAAGUGUGCUUGAUUUGUUGUUUUUCGUUACAACCGUACAAGAGUUAGAGAGUUAAGCGGAAAUAAAACAUAAACAUAAGAGACCGUUUCCCCCAAGAUUGGUUGAUUAGUCGUCUUGACUUGAAGCAGGUUCAAAAGAUCAACCGUAUUUUUUCACUAUCAUUUUUUAUGCAUUAGCAUAACAGGGGAUUGAGCAAAAACGAGUGGAUGGUUAGAAACACGAACAUAUGUAAAGAAUUUGUAAAUCCAACGUGAUAAAAUGUCUAAUCUUGAUCAUAUAUAUCAUGGUUUGCUGAAAAUUUCUUUGGAGGAUUGAUUCCUUUUUUAUUUAUUUUUUAGUAUAAUUCUAUUUGACUCACUUGCAUUUUCUUGUGGUAGUUGGUUAUUAUUUGAAUCUCUAUUUCCUGAGCAGGGAUUUAAUCCUAAUUCACAAGUAUUCAUUUCUUGUUCAAAAAAAAAAAAGAAGGUAAUUCUGUCAUUUACUGUUGGAUUUGAAUAGAGGAAUGAUACUUAUUCCAUUUCAUUAUUAUUCCUUGCAGUCCAUGGAAGAAAUAUCUGAAAACCAAAUUAGCUUGAAGGUGUUGGUGAACAAUUUGACCAACAAAGUCAUUUUCGCUGAGUGUGAUAAUGAUUUCAUUGAUGUUCUCUUCAGUUUCUUGACAAUUCCUAUGGGAACAAUUGUUAGGCUUUCCCAUCAUUCGCAAUCCUUUGGAAUUGGUUGCAUUGACAACUUAUUUGGAAGUGUUGAGAGUCUUGAUUUACAGCUUUUUCGAUCUAAAGAAUGUUGAGACAUGUUGUUACACCCUCGCAAUGAAGCUGAGGAUCUUUUGAGGAACCUGAAAUUGAAAUAUGAUCAAUGUGAGCCCCCGCGGUACUUUAAGUGUUCUAAUCGAUAUUGCCGCAGUUCUGCACAAAGGUUUAGUUAUUACCAAAAUGUUCAUUGUUGUUGUGGGGGUCUGAUGAACAUGGAGACCAUUUUUACAAC
rnacentral:lncRNA from 1 species